GGCCAAUAUCAUCCGGGCCGGUAGACCAAAGUUCUUGGGGGACCCGAUCCAGAGCACUGGGGGUGUGUGUGACCCGUGCAUUCCCUGCGUUGUCAGUUAUGUUCAGCAGGAUAGGGAGGGAACAGAGGGCAGAGGUAUCCUUUUGUGAUAGGGGGGUUGUCAACUCGACUUGGCCAUCUGCAGUGAAAGUAAUGGAAGCCUGAAGCCGAGAGAGAACAUCGGCACCUAGGAGGUUAAUGGGACAGGUAGAGGAAACAACAAACCGGGAGAGGAUGUGUGAUCCUACGUGUAAGAGUUUAGUAAGGGGGUUACUGCGAGGUGUACCAUCUACCCCAACACAGGAGACAUCAGUGUCAGAUAAAAAGGAAGGGUCAGGCAGGUCUUGUUCCCUAAGAACACUACGGGCUGCACCUGUGUCAACUAGAAAGGUGGUUGGAUGGCCUUCUACGGGGAGAACUACAGUAGCUAAAGGCCCACCCCCAUCCCCCGCAGACACUGCCAUGGCAGGGGUUGCCGACACAGGCUUGCCGGUUACCUAUUGCAACAAAUCUAAAUGGGCUUGGUCCGGUCCUUGGUACCUGCGGGAAGUGGAAGGGGGGAUAGCAGAAUGGGUAGGUGGGCGAGAUGGACGGGUAGCGUGACGGGGCUGUGCCAGACUGUCUUGGAAAUCCUCGUUGUCAUACCCCUCGCCAGAGGGCGAGGAGUAAGCACGAGCAUCUGAUGUGGGUGGCCGGGCAUGGGUGUACUCAGGAGGCGGAGGAGGUGGAGGAGGGGGAAGCUGGGGCAACUGUGGAAGGGGUAGGGCAGGGAGAUAACCAGUGGAAGGGAAGUUAUAGCUGGUGACAUGGGGACCAGUGUACCGGGAAGUCUGCUGACGGAACACCCUCGGCUGUGGACAAUCCCUUCUAAAGUGUCCGGGUUGGUUACAAUUAUAACAGGACCUGAUUGUUGUGAAUGUCCGGUCUCUGGGAAAGGGAAGUGGUGCAGGCAGUGUCUGGGGUGGUUGGUGGUACUGUUGGAGGGGUAACUGAGGUGGUUGGUUAGAACCUGUGAUGGGAGUGGAGGUAGUGUACAUCAAAGGAUUAGUUCUACGUGGUGUGGGUUGUAAAACUGUUUCCAAACCCUUGGCUACCAACAAAAGAGUAUCCAGUGGAAUAAUUCUAUACUCAGGGCGAGCUAGGAUUAACCCUUUACGAAUAUGUUCCUUGAGGCCUGCCACAAACGCUGCAGAAAGCAUCUGAGUGUGUGCUUUAUUAUAGGAGCUGAAUCCCAAAUCUGAAAAAGUCUGAGUUAACCUAGAGUGGUACUUUUCAACGGUCUCAAGUUUGUCCUGAAGAAUAUCAUUUAUGCAAGUAGCCUGAUCAGCUAGUUUAUCCUGAGCCCAGGCUCGGAGCUGUUCACAGAAAACUUCACCAGAGCGAAAAUCAGUAUCAGAAGUAAGAGGAGCAUCGCUAAAGCUCCGUUCCAUGAUUGGCCAGUAUGCAUCACCAGCCUUUAUUUCACAUAAACUUAUGAGAUCCCGCCAAGCAGCGGAGUAUGUUUUGCGGAUCUGAGC